rnacentral:rRNA from 1 species
AGAGUUUGAUCUUGGCUCAGGACGAACGCUGGCGGCAUGCCUAAUACAUGCAAGUCGAACGAUGAUAUCACUGCUUGCAGUGAUUGAUUAGUGGCGAACGGGUGAGUAACACGUGAGGAACUUGCCCAUGAGCGGGGGACAACAUUCGGAAACGGAUGCUAAUACCCCAUAGGUGGAUUGGUCGCAUGACGAAUUCAUUAAAGGUGGCUUUGCUACCACUCAUGGAUAGCCUCGCGGCGUAUUAGCUAGUUGGUAAGGUAAUGGCUUACCAAGGCAGUGAUACGUAGCCGACUUGAGAGGGUGAUCGGCCACACUGGGACUGAGACACGGCCCAGACUCCUACGGGAGGCAGCAGUAGGGAAUCUUCCACAAUGGGUGCAAACCUGAUGGAGCAAUGCCGCGUGAGUGAAGAAGGUCUUCGGAUCGUAAAGCUCUGUUGUUAGAGAAGAACACGUGCUAGGUAACUACUAGCGCCUUGACGGUAUCUAACCAGAAAGUCACGGCUAACUACGUGCCAGCAGCCGCGGUAAUACGUAGGUGACAAGCGUUGUCCGGAUUUAUUGGGCGUAAAGGGAGCGCAGGCGGUCUGUUUAGUCUAAUGUGAAAGCCCACGGCUUAACCGUGGAACGGCAUUGGAAACUGACAGACUUGAAUGUAGAAGAGGAAAAUGGAAUUCCAAGUGUAGCGGUGGAAUGCGUAGAUAUUUGGAGGAACACCAGUGGCGAAGGCGAUUUUCUGGUCUAACAUUGACGCUGAGGCUCGAAAGCGUGGGGAGCGAACAGGAUUAGAUACCCUGGUAGUCCACGCCGUAAACGAUGAGUGCUAAGUGUUGGGGGCUUUCCGGCCCUCGGUGCUGGAGCUAACGUAUUAAGCACUCCGCCUGGGGAUUACGACCGCAAGGUUGAAACUCAAAAGAAUUGACGGGGACCCGCACAAGCGGUGGAGCAUGUGGUUUAAUUCGAAGCAACG